UACGAAGGGGGCGAGCGUUGCUCGGAAUUACUGGGCGUAAAGGGCGCGUAGGCGGCCCGCUAAGUCGAACGUGAAAUCCCUGGGCUCAACCCAGGAACUGCGUCCGAUACUGGCAGGCUUGAAUCCGGGAGAGGGAUGUGGAAUUCCAGGUGUAGCGGUGAAAUGCGUAGAUAUCUGGAGGAACACCGGUGGCGAAGGCGGCAUCCUGGACCGGUAUUGACGCUGAUGCGCGAAAGCCAGGGGAGCAAACGGG
rnacentral:rRNA from 1 species